rnacentral:rRNA from 1 species
GCUAAAAACCUAGCCCCACCACAACCUAAUGAAUCACAAAAAUUAACUCAACUAACCAAAACAUUUUUAUAUUUUAGUAAAGGCGAUCAAAAAAAUUCUAUGGAGCUAUAAUGAUAGUACCGCAAGGGAAAAGUGAAAUAAUAAUGAAAUAAUUUUAAGCACUCUAAAGUAGAG